rnacentral:lncRNA from 1 species
AAACUUAAAAGAGUGCAAGGUUAAAGAAAAAUGGCAACAACUAAAUCUUUUUAUAUAGUAAUGUCUUCCAUAAUUAAUCAAUACAAACAAAUUACAAUUGUUGCCGGCGAGGUUUCAUGUCAUGAAAACGUCGCAUAAUAGGCUCAUUAUCAAUAAAAGCAAAUACAUCUCUCUCAAUGUAAACAACCAUGCUAUCACUCAACCAUUGAUCUCUCAUUUUGUUACGCAAUGGUGUUUUCACAAUCUUCAUAGCAGAAAAAGCUCUCUCCAUCGAAGCGGUUGCAACCGACAACACCAAAGCCAAUGUAAGAAGCUUAUACACUAACAUAUAGCUUUCACACCUCCCGGUCUUCAUUAACUCUUUUGCAAGAUCACUAAUUCCUCUCAAUGAUGAAAACUCACUAUGCAUCUUCAUAUUAUGAAUGUCGGCGAAUUGCUUCACGAUAAUUAGGUAGAUAAUCAAGCAUUCGACGUCUAUGUCCAGGGUUUACAGGAAGAUUAGCCAGUAUUUCAUCUAACUUAGUGACCUCACUUUGUUGGGAACUACCCGGAAUACUCGAAGAAGGAAUAUUUGGAAUAUUCAAAGGAGGACUACUCGGAAUAUUCGAAGAAGGACUACCCGAAAUAUUUGAAGGAGGAUUUAAGCAUUGUUUCUUAUAGUAUUGUUCCAUUGUUUAACUGUAUAUGGAAAAGAAAAAAAAAGUCUUAGACUCUUAAUUCUAGAGUAAGCUACUAUACUAUAGUCAAUAUGAGUACUAACAAAUUAAACCAACAAUUAAUCAAUACCAAUAUUCAUAUAAAUUAUUUAACACACAAAAAUUCAAUUAAUAAAUUAAUAUCAAUAAUCAAGAAUUCAAUUUUUACUCUAGACAAUAAUUUCAUUCAUCAAUAAUCAUUCAUAGGAUUCAUAUUUAUAUGUAAAAAUAAAAAAUCAAUAACUAUAUUAGUGUAUUACUCUAUGAUUCUAUAUUAAUUAACUAAAAUUUUGUAUUAAUUAAUCAAUUAGGGUUAGGGAUAAAGGGAACUUUAACGAAAAGCACCCGGUACUGUUCACUUUAACGAAAAACCACAUUUUUACACUAAAAAGUCAAUCAUAGUACUAUUCACUUUAUCCUUUAUUUUGUCCUUAUCAUUAAAACUCAAAGUUUUCAAGCCAUUUUCAUUAGUUUUCCUUAAUAUAAAUUAGAAAGUUAAAAAAUUUACCUAAAAUUGAGAGAGAAGUGGAAAACCAACCCAAC